AUCGCUUCUCGGCCUUUUGGCUAAGAUCAAAGUUUAGUUUCUGUUCUUAUCGAAUUAACCUUCGAUAGAGAUUCGAAUGAGUCUCGUUAAGGUUAUUUGAUUUUUGGAAUUCGGAUGGGGUCGUGGGCUUGCUCGCACCUCAUCACGGGUCGGCCCAGCGUUGCACUGCUGCAGGGAUCGGCCCACCUCCA
rfam:Necator americanus N_americanus-1.0_Cont86901.1, whole genome shotgun sequence.